GGAAACGACUGCUAAUACCGCAUAAGCCCACGGUGCCGCAUGACACUGAGGGAAAAGGAUUUAUUCGCUUUAGGAUGGACUCGCGUCCAAUUAGCUAGUUGGUGAGGUAACGGCCCACCAAGGCGACGAUUGGUAGCCGGACUGAGAGGUUGAACGGCCACAUUGGGACUGAGACACGGCCCAGACUCCUACGGGAGGCAGCAGUGGGGGAUAUUGCACAAUGGGGGAAACCCUGAUGCAGCGACGCCGCGUGGAGGAAGAAGGUUUUCGGAUUGUAAACUCCUGUCGUUAGGGACGAUAAUGACGGUACCUAACAAGAAAGCACCGGCUAACUACGUGCCAGCAGCCGCGGUAAAACGUAGGGUGCAAGCGUUGUCCGGAAUUACUGGGUGUAAAGGGAGCGCAGGCGGGAAGACAAGUUGGAAGUGAAAACCAUGGGCUCAACCCAUGAAUUGCUUUCAAAACUGUUUUUCUUGAGUAGUGCAGAGGUAGAUGGAAUUCCCGGUGUAGCGGUGGAAUGCGUAGAUAUCGGGAGGAACACCAGUGGCGAAGGCGGUCUACUGGGCACCAACUG
rnacentral:rRNA from 1 species